rnacentral:rRNA from 1 species
AACGCGAAGAACCUUACCUGGGCUUGAACUGCACUUGACAAAGGUAGAAAUAUCUCUCCCGCAAGGGCAAGUGUAGAGGUGCUGCAUGGCUGUCGUCAGCUCGUGCCGUGAGGUGUUGGGUUAAGUCCCGCAACGAGCGCAACCCUUACCCUUAGUUGCCACCCGCAAGGGGGAACUCUAAGGGGACUGCUCCGGAUAACGGAGAGGAAGGUGGGGAUGAGGUCAAGUCAGCAUGGCCUUUAUGUCCAGGGCUACACACGUGUUACAAUGCAUGGUACAGACCGUUGCAAACCCGCGAGGGGGAGCUAACCGGAAAAAACCAUGCUCAGUUCGGAUUGCAGUCUGCAACUCGACUGCAUGAAGCUGGAAUCGCUAGUAAUGGCGUAUCAGAACGACGCCGUGAAUACGUUCCCGGGCCUUGUACACACCGAGACGUA